AAUGAUUAAGAAUAUAUGGUGAAUUCAAUUGUGGUGAAUAAUUGGAGGUAUCUACCGAGAGAAGCAAGUCGAAACGGGCAAAGGCAUUGAUCUUUAAUAUAUACAGUACUUGAGUCUGCAGUGUGGCGUCAAAUUGAAUCUCCAUACGCAUUCUUCUCUUCUGGGUCUUCUUUUCAUCUCUUCCUCUCUCCUCCCUUCUUCCCAAUCCCCACACUUCCAUCUUUUUUUUCUCCAUUUCUUUCUCAAUAUUCCUCCAUUUUAGUGUCUCUCAUCUUUGCUUCAUCAAUUCAGGACAAUGCUUAUGGACUGAAUAUUGCAUUAUAUGGGAGGUAUAGACGACAUUGAGCCACCUUUGAAACGUACUAAGGAAUCGAAUAGUUUCUUGUUACAUCAACCCGGUAUCUGUUGCUUUGGGGAAUACAAUGGCUAGGACUUUUAUCAUUGAUGAAAUGGUAGGAUCUAGAGGGCUUAUAAGAAGAGAUGAAUUCGUUAAAAUCAUCACCAGUGCCUUGUAUUCUCUCGGUUAUGGUAAGGCUGGAGCUCUUUUAGAAGAAGAAUCCCAAAUAAAGUUGCAUCCAUCUAGUGUAACUUCAUUUAUGCAGCUUGUGUUGGAAGGGAAAUGGGAUGACAGUAUUACCAUUUUGCGUGAGUUUGGUCUCUCUCCUGAGACCAAGAAAUGUGCAACAUUCGUUAUUUUGGAGCAAAAAUAUCUGGAACACCUACAAAGUGGAAAUACUAAAGAUGCGCUGUUGACGCUUAGGAAUGAGAUUUCACCUCUUUGUAUAAACACGAACAGGGUUCAUCAGCUUGCUGCCUGCCUUGUCUCUCAUUCACAAAUCAUAAUUCCCAGCACUGAAACUAUUUUUGUCAGUUCGCGGCAAGAAAUUUUGGAGAAUUUGCAGAAGUUGCUUCCUGCUGAAGUGAUUGUACCUGAAAGAAGAUUAGAACAACUUGUGGAGCAGGCUCUUGACAGGCAACGAGAAUCUUGUGUGUUCCACAACAUACUUGAUAGUGGAUUAUCCUUGUAUAUUGACCAUCGAUGUGAGAGCCACCAGAUUCCUUCUGAAAAUAUACAGGUACUUCAAGCACACGGCGGUGAAGUUUGGUAUGUGCAGUUUUCACACAAUGGGAAGUACCUAGCAUCAGCAGCUACAGAUCGGAUGGUAUAUAUUUGAGAGACUCUUAAGAGUGGCCGGGUGUGUCUAAAGCAUUUGCUAGCUGGUCAUAACAAACUUGUCUGUACUGUUUCUUGGAGUCCCGAUGACAGCCAACUUCUUACAUGUGGACUGGAAGAAGUUGUUAGACGUUGGGAUGUCCAGUCUGGUAAAUGUCUCCAUGUUUAUGAAAACCUUGGCACUGCUUUGGUUUCAUGUGGUUGGUUUCCUGACGGAAAAGGAGUAUUCUGUGGUGCCACUGAUAAAAGUAUCUGCAUAUGGUAUCUAGAUGGAAGAGAAGAGGAAUGUUGGAGAGGUCAUAGGACACUACAGACAUCGGAAAUGGCUAUAACCAAUGAUGGAAAGAGUCUAUUAAGCCUUUGCCAGGAUAGUGCUAUAGUGUUUCUUGACAGACAAGCGAAGUUUGAGAGAUUGAUUGAAGAAGACCAAGCUAUAACAUCAUUCUCUUUAUCUAAGGACAGCAAGUUCUUGCUUGUAAACCUUGCUAACGAAGAGAUACAUCUCUGGAGCCUAGAGGGUGAUUUCAAAGUUAUCUGUACGAACAAAGGACACAAACGUUCCCGUUUUGUCGUUCGUUCCUGCUUUGGGGGCAUUGAGCAAGGCUUUAUUGCCAGCGGUAGUGAGGAUUCACAGGUAUACAUAUGGCACCGAAGCACCGGAGAGCUCCUCUUGACGUUGCCUGGACAUUCAGGAGCUGUCAAUUGUGUGAGUUGGAAUCCGUGUAACCUUCAUAUGAUGGCAUCAGCAAGCGAUGACAGGAAUGUUAUAAUAUGGGGUUGUUAGUAAUUCAAAAUUUCAAACUUGUAGAUGGAAAAAGAUAGGGAAGCAAGGAGGAUAGCAAUACAUCUCUCUCUCAUACAUAACAUCACAUGCCUAUUUUCUUUUGUGUACAUAUUCUGCUUUUGGCACUGGUAGCAUCAAGAAAGCCUUGCAGCUACGCCUCUGUCUGCCAUCAUUACUGUAAAGUGUAAAUUGUGGAAUUAUCUACAUCUUACUUCUACCAUUGCACAUGUUGAUCCUCUAAUUUUCUAGA